rnacentral:lncRNA from 1 species
CUUACUUUUAUUAUUUUUAUUGUUGUAUGUUUUAUCUUUUUUGUAUUGCAUGCAUGUUUGUGCCUCAUUGGCCUAGCUUAAAAGCUUCUCUACAAAAGCAGAACAGCUACCAGGAAGACACAGAAGUCCCAGAGAAGACAGAAAACUCCCAGCAAGACAGCAGCAAACAUAUAUUUUUUGCAAGAUGAAGAUAGAAUAAGAUUUGUUUAUUUAAUCUUAGAUAAGAUAGCUUGAUAAGAUUUUAUCUUUGUAAUCAUACAUCCAAUCUUAUGAACAGGC